GUUUACUUCGCCGCUGAUUGGCCGAGCCCUGGAGAGACGGUGCAGAGCUCGGAAGGAAAAAAGAGCAGAAGUACCAGGGUCGCAGGGUUCAAGAUGGCUCCGGCCUCCUUGGGUGACGUAGAGGGAAGACCUUGGGUCCGCCCCUCCCUCUUCGAAAAGCGGGGAGCAGAACUGGGGUUAGCCCGACGUGUGGAUGGUGCGGCCGUCGGCCAGUAGCGCUGGUGUUAACCCCACUCUCUCGGUUGGACCGCUCGGCCUCUCUAGGUGAUUCUCACAGCAGGACCGAGCCCAAGGCCCACCGUUGUGAUGUGACCCAGCAGACCACAGUGGACCUCAACUCCGUUCUAGACCUUAAAAGCAGAAAAGGACUGACUGGUUCCACCCCCUUAUGAGUGGGCGCCCAAAGGGCAGGGUCCGAUCCCUAGGUGACCCGCCGCAGGAUGGAGUAGAUCCGCCCCUUCCUUGUAAUUUGCCCUGCAGAGAUUUGGAUCUUCUUCCUGGCUGAACCGUUCCAACAGUCAGUGACCCUCACUGUGGCCCAAGGCCCAGAAUUAGGUAACAGUCCUCUCACUACCGAGGGCUC
rnacentral:lncRNA from 1 species